rnacentral:rRNA from 1 species
UACGAAGGGGGCUAGCGUUGCUCGGAAUCACUGGGCGUAAAGCGCACGUAGGCGGCUUCUUAAGUCAGGGGUGAAAUCCUGGAGCUCAACUCCAGAACUGCCUUUGAUACUGAGGAGCUUGAGUCCGGGAGAGGUGAGUGGAACUGCGAGUGUAGAGGUGAAAUUCGUAGAUAUUCGCAAGAACACCAGUGGCGAAGGCGGCUCACUGGCCCGGUACUGACGCUGAGGUGCGAAAGCGUGGGAGCAAACAGG